CCUACGGGAGGCAGCAGUGAGGAAUCUUGGUCAAUGGACGAGAGUCUGAACCAGCCAAGUAGCGUGAAGGGUGACUGCCCUAUGGGUUGUAAACUUCUUUUAUAAAGGAAUAAAACGAGGCACGUGUGCCUUUUUUCAUGGACUUUAUGAAUAAGGAUCGGCUAACUCAGUGCCAGCAGCGGCGGUAAUACGGAGGAACCGAGCGUUAUCCGGAUUUAUUGGGUUUAAAGGGAGCGUAGAUGGGUUGUUAAGUCAGUUGUGAAAGUUUGCGGCUCAACCGUAAAAUUGCAAUUGAUACUGGCAGUCUUGAGUACAGUUGAGGUAAGCGGAAUGCGUGGUGUAGCGGUGAAAUGCUUAGAUAUCACGAAGAACCCCGAUUGCGAAGGCAGCUUACUAAACUGUGACUGACAUUGAUGCUCGAAAGUGUGGGUAUCAAACAGGAUUAGAUACCCGAGUAGUC
rnacentral:rRNA from 1 species